rnacentral:rRNA from 1 species
CUGGCCGUAAACGAUGGGUACUAGGUGUAGGAGGUAUCGACCCCUUCUGUGCCGGAGUUAACGCAAUAAGUACCCCGCCUGGGGAGUACGGCCGCAAGGUUGAAACUCAAAGGAAUUGAC